rnacentral:piRNA from 1 species
UGAAUUUUGUGGUUACACUUGGUCAGCCU